rnacentral:sRNA from 1 species
UCUGGCUGCUGUGGCUUUAUUUUCACCUGAAGGCUUCUAGUUUGAAAAAAGGAAAGAAAAGAAAAGAAAAGUCUUUACUAAGGAAAAAGAAAAAUUUCAAGAAAAGUCUUAAGCCAGAAAAAUAGACCGUGAAACUCCCUGUUUUUAUAGAUGAUGGGAUUCUGCUCUGGCCUUUCUCCCUUCCCACUCACAGGCAAGAUUCCUCUAGGAUGAGCAGUAGAGGUGAGCUAUUCAUGAGGAAUGGAGUACCUACUCAGGGAUCGAGUCCUCCAGUGUUGUCCCAUGGGACCAGCCUCUGGCUCCUGAUCCUGUCCCAGUGCAAGCUCAACCUUCAGUGGGGUGUUUCAGAGGUUCCCUUUGCUUAGAACCUUGGUUGCUUUUGAGUUGGUGUGAGGAGAGGAAAGUGCUUGCUACUCCCUAGGAUGAGUCUCAACUGGCAGGAGGGCAGAACCUCACUGUCCCAGGGUGGGAAGGGGUUGACUAAAGCUCUCACACCUGCCCUCUCUGGAGUUCUCUAUCCUUUGAUUUAUGAGGACCAAGUGCAGAUUCUUAGUGGGAGUUGGUCCCAGCUUCGUGUAGGCCAAAUAAGAGCCAGUCUCUCCAGCCUUUAAGUACCAGGGGUGGGGGGGCAACCGGGAAAAAUAUAUACAAAAGGGACCCAGUGUUCUUGCCCCAGGAGGGCGGGUCUGCAUGGCAUGUAGCUGUAAUAUUACUAGCUGGUGCUGGGCCUGAGAAGACCUGAGCAUCCUGGAGCCCCAUCUUGCCUCCCUCUCUUCUUGUUCUCUGUGCAUGCUGACCAGCACUCUCUUCUUGAUGUCUUUGGAUAUAGACUGGUGCAUGGAUCCUGCACCAGCUCUCCUCGGCAUCAGAUGGAUAAGCGGAUGAGAUUUGAAGACAAACCCCUAAACUGCCUGCGUUCCAUGUGGGCACAACUGGCCUAGGAGUGCCCAGACAUAGUCAGCUCCCUCUUGGCUGUGGGGAAGGAGGUGACUUGGUUAUGCUCUGGCCUAUUGUCUGCCCCCACUCCAUCUCUAGGGACAAGAGAUGCUAGUUCCAGGAGAGUCUGGCAAGGGCUGGCCUUCCUGGAACCUGGGAGGAUCUUUAGAAGGAAAAUGAAGGGUUAUUUGCUAAACCCUGUUGUUUUUUUCCUUGUACCUAGGGGCAGCUUGCUUCUUGCUCCAGGCUGCAGACCGUUUGGAUAAAAAGCAAUCACCGUUCAUAUUUGUUGUCUUGAGAAUGAGACCAGGAGCCUGGCCACAGGGGAGUGGGGUGGGGGGACAUGUGGCCUUUCUUCUCUGCCUCCUUCCCGGUGAAUCCCUCCCACUCCCCACUUCCCAGACACCAGACACUUGCUGCCUUCCACCUCCAGACACCAGAUGGCUCCCUCUCUUUGCUCUCCCCUCUAGACCAUUUGGGCCCCUCCCUGUGCCUGCAAGAGGUUCCAGAGUCCAGCCUCUGCCUGGUGGGGCCAGCCAUCCCCUCAACUCCCAGGGGCUACUUUUCAUUCGUCUAGCUCUUCCUCCUGCUGGGCUUCGGCAGGCUCUUACCCUUCGAGCACCUUUCCAUCCUUCACUCUGAGGAGCACUGGCCAAUCUUUGUGUCUGCCCCACCCCCCAAGAGGCAGUGUCCUGGGCAUGGCCCCCUCCCCCUUCCAGCCCCUGCCGCUAGAUGGCGUCCUCACUCUGCCUUCAACUCUGGCCUGCCGGGUUGGGGAAAUUCUGCAGUCUCCAGUUGGAAAGUCCUGGAAGCAGGACUAGGCUCUUUGGCUCCUCCUCUGUUCUCUGCCACCUGUCUUUCCUUCCCAACCCUUACUUCCCUUUCCACAGUUUCCACAGUUUGAGCUAGGGAUCCCAGCCCAGUCCGUGCCUCCUGGCCUCUUCUCUUUUCCUGUUUUCUCUCCCAGUUGACUUCUCUUUCUUUGACAGCUCUGUCACCAUCUCAUUCUGCCCAAUCACACAGUUACGUCUCAUUUUCCUCCUGAAUUUUUUUCAGUUUUGGCAAAUAGAGUUUUACCUGCUCCAGUUUGUUCUCUGGGGCGAAAGCUAGGGGAGAGGAAAAUUCUACAGUCAAGGAGAUACCUACAGUCUGGGAAAGCUGCUUUGGUGCUAAUGGUCAGAGAAUCACAUGCUAUAUCAUACUUUGUCUACGCCCUGUCCAUCCUUCAGUGGGUUCUGUGUAAGGUGUAAGCCAUGACUGUUUCAUUUUGGGUCCAAAUAGGCCUCAGCUCUCUGAGCCUUUAGAGUCUCCAAAUGGUUUCUGGUCCACUACAGAGCCACCAGGUACAUUUGUGACUUGGAAAGAGGAUGUAGGCAGGUGGCCUGCUGUAUGGCCUAGAGGACCAAGGGAUGGGUCUGGAUGUCAUAACCAGUUCUUCUGACCCCAGUUUGGGCAUUUCUUUACCACAGCUGCUGUGGUACUCCAAAAUGCCAUCACCUCUUUCCCUCCGGUCUUGUAGCUGCUGAAGCACAGAGGCCCCUGGGAAAGAGGGACCCUACCAUUCUCCUUUGAAGCCAAGCCAAGAGCAUGAAGCGGUGAAGCUUACGGUUCAUGCCUGCUGUGGUAUAGAGAAGAGGAGAAAAAGGGCUGGCAGGACGGAGCCAGACCCUUUCUCUAGGAGGCUUCAGGCGACCAGGAAACCAGGUGGACGGGUACGGACUGCUUCUUCCUCUGCGGCAGGAGGGUUUUGCAGAGGAUUCUGCUGGUUGAGAAGUGGUCACUCACUCCAGAAAGAACCGCUUCCAUCAGAUGCUGUGCAGCUCUGCUGAGUGUUGUGCCAGCCUCAAGAGUCAUGUCACGGUGGCCACCCGGAUCCUGGGACUGGGACUGGAGGCUGGACAACAGCAGGGCGCUGCAGAAGAUUGCUUUCUCCGAAGAGAGGACAUCUCUUCCCCUCUGUCUCUCACCCCACCCUUCAGUGACCAGGGGAUUUCACCUCUUUGGGGGCUGGGUUCUUCAUUUUUGACUGUCCUACACAGAGAGGGUCUCCAGGCCUGAAGUCACAUGUCACCUAGAACUCAGGUUAGCAAAGCUUCCUUGCUCAGUGUUGCACGUUGUCUUUCAGUUAGACUUGCACUGAAUUUCAGUUUACCAACACGAACAACCCCACUGAGGAAACGAGCACAGAGUUUGUAUAUUCUGUCCUAUCCCGCAGAGAAUCUAUGGCAGGAACAUCAGCAAUAGCAGUCCCCGAGCCCCAGAGCCUGUCAUACAUCUCCAGCUUAUGAUCUGUGGGGCCCAUGGCUGUAUCAGCAGAGGGGAAGCAAGGAAUGGAAGCAGAAAAGGAAGCAUGAACGUGCACUUGUAAAGAUAAGGCACAGAGGAAUGUGUGCAUCUUGGGGCUCAGGUAAAAAGUGGUCCAGAAUCAGAGAUGCUGAGGAGAAAACUAGGGGUGUCUGAGAGUGGUUCUCCUCAGCUGCUCUGUCCUGUCGCUUCUUGCAUUGGGCACACAGGGUCACUAUUCUCUCUCCGAGACUCCAUCCUUACCAUUGCCCUGGAGGGGCAUGUUUCCUCACAAAGAAAGGUGACCUCACCCACGGGCACCAAGCCAUGUGUGAUCCGUGUGCCCCUGAUGCUGACUUUAGCCCUGGCCCCUCAACCACCUCCCUUCUUGUCUGAUGUAAGAGUGUUUCCAAGAAGAAUACUGUGUGCCCGAUAGACACUGUGGGUUCAGGACUAGGCAUGUCCACGUUGAAUUUUUGUGAUGCUUUAACCAGGAACGGAGGGCUCUUGCUGCUGUCCUCAGAGGUUAGCUUGUUUUGAGGGCUCCAGCUUCUCUGUGGUGGCCUGGAUGGGCAUCGUGGUUACAAAGGAGAGAUUUGUAGAUGUUGCUUCUGGUUCCUUUUCAUGUUGCUGGGAUGAAGUGCUACGGCAAAACAACUUGAAGGAGUUGCUCUUGAUUCACAAUAGGGAAGUCCUCAGAGCAGAGUAGGUGGCAACGGGCCAAACCGCAUUUUCAGUCAGGAAGCAGAGAGAUGAGCGCUGUUGCCAGGUUCACUGGCUUCCAUUUAUGCAUUGCAGGGCUUAAGCCCAGGGAAUGGUCCCAUGUAUGGUGGGAAGAUCUUCUUAUCUCAACUAAUCUAGCAAACAAGUCAUCCACUAUAGACAUGCCCAGAGAGCCUUGGUCAGGGUUCCUCAGUGGUUGUCACAUCAGGACAGCGAGUGUCAAGUCCUAUGGUCUUUGGUUGGUACUUCUUAUGGCCAGGGUUCCAUGUAUCAUGUACCUGCUGCUAUGGAGAAUGGACAGGGAACCUGGUGAUGGUCCCUGUGGCUAAGGUGCUCCUCUCUCCAUUGUAACGUUAAAGCUUUGGCAGAGUUCAGUUUUCAGAUUAUUCUUAGAUUAUUGGUGUGUGAGAUUCAGGUGACAUGUAUCUUCAAGCAGGUGUUGUGACUGCUCAGGGCUGAGUCUAUGUCAGUUCCUCUUGAGGCAAGUUGCUUCUGUCUGUGAGUCUGGCAGCUGGUUCCUACAUGCUCAGUAUUGAGUGCUUGGGUAGCCUUACUACAUGCUUGUGUGCCUGUGUGCCUGGUCUAUAUGCUAUGUGCAGUGGGCAGCUUAAAACAAGAGUCUUAAAGAGUGGACACGAAAAGCAUGUGACUUGCUGGUGGGGUUUGUUUUGUUCGAAGGACUGAGCUGUGCCAUAGUUUUGUUUUGGUAUCUGAGAUGGCACUCAACUCAAAUGGCAGAAACCUUGGCCCCUACUUGACAGUCUGUAGAAUACCUUCUCACUGGGCCCCCAGCAUCUCUGGUGUCAGGGAAAGUGCGAAACCAUGUACAUCUCAUAGCUGCCAUUGAAGAAUUUCCAGAAAGAUUUCCAGUUAGAGAACCAGGAUCAGACCUGGAAGGAUUUCCUUUGGCUCCAGGUUGAUGUAAAAAUGAGUCCAGGAACCUCAUUCUAAGCUUUUGAUUAACUUCAAUGGGAAGAUUCUAGAUUCUACAUCCUUGACCUUUGCAGAUGGAGACCUGCUCAUGCUUGGGGAGCCCUCUGUCUUUGCCGUGGCUAUCUUGGGCAGGAGUCAUUCCUAGUGCAUUGUGUCUGCACUUUCGCCUGCUGCCCUGCAUGAGGCUUCCAGCCCUGCCACUGUCUGCUGCCAUUCCCUGUGGUGCCAGACAUUGAGCUUCUUGUACGUGGACUGCGUACCAGUGGCCUGUGUUGUUUCUUAUAGCCAAGUGCUCUCCUGGGAGCUGAACUCUGACAUCAAGACUGUGUCAGCACACCUCUGCACUUCUAGAAGGGUCUGUUGGUCUCAUUCAUCUAAGUUCCUAGCUAAGAUGAUGUUCAAUAAAUAUUGAUCACUGGAUGAAAGUUUCUUAUCAGUGCAGCA